AGCCUAACCCCAGUAAUACCUAUUGGAUAUGGCUCAAAAGACCCAAUGACGAUACUGAACCCCGCGUUCAGCGACUCGUCAUUGGGCUACAUCGGGAAACUGGUGUAGGGCCGCAAGGCCU
rnacentral:sRNA from 1 species